AUCCCUGUAGCUCAGCAGGAAAGAGCACCGGGUUGCGAACCCGGAGGUCGUGGGUUCAAGUCCCACCGGGGAUGUCA
rnacentral:tRNA from 1 species